CCUGGCUCACGAUGAACGCUAGCUACAGGCUUAACACAUGCAAGUCGAGGGGCAGCAUGGUCUUAGCUUGCUAAGGCCGAUGGCGACCGGCGCACGGGUGAGUAACACGUAUCCAACCUGCCGUCUACUCUUGGACAGCCUUCUGAAAGGAAGAUUAAUACAAGAUGGCAUCAUGAGUCCGCAUGUUCACAUGAUUAAAGGUAUUCCGGUAGACGAUGGGGAUGCGUUCCAUUAGAUAGUAGGCGGGGUAACGGCCCACCUAGUCUUCGAUGGAUAGGGGUUCUGAGAGGAAGGUCCCCCACAUUGGAACUGAGACACGGUCCAAACUCCUACGGGAGGCAGCAGUGAGGAAUAUUGGUCAAUGGGCGAGAGUCUGAACCAGUCAAGUAGCGUGAAGGAUGACUGCCCUAUGGGUUGUAAACUUCUUUUAUAAAGGAAUAAAGUCGGGUAUGGAUACCCGUUUGCAUGUACUUUAUGAAUAAGGAUCGGCUAACUCCGUGCCAGCAGCCGCGGUAAUACGGAGGAUCCGAGCGUUAUCCGGAUUUAUUGGGUUUAAAGGGAGCGUAGAUGGAUGUUUAAGUCAGUUGUGAAAGUUUGCGGCUCAACCGUAAAAUUGCAGUUGAUACUGGAUAUCUUGAGUGCAGUUGAGGCAGGCGGAAUUCGUGGUGUAGCGGUGAAAUGCUUAGAUAUCACGAAGAACUCCGAUUGCGAAGGCAGCCUGCUAAGCUGCAACUGACAUUGAGGCUCGAAAGUGUGGGUAUCAAACAGGAUUAGAUACCCUGGUAGUCCACACGGUAAACGAUGAAUACUCGCUGUUUGCGAUAUACUGCAAGCGGCCAAGCGAAAGCGUUAAGUAUUCCACCUGGGGAGUACGCCGGCAACGGUGAAACUCAAAGGAAUUGACGGGGGCCCGCACAAGCGGAGGAACAUGUGGUUUAAUUCGAUGAUACGCGAGGAACCUUACCCGGGCUUAAAUUGCAGAUGAAUUACGGUGAAAGCCGUAAGCCGCAAGGCAUCUGUGAAGGUGCUGCAUGGUUGUCGUCAGCUCGUGCCGUGAGGUGUCGGCUUAAGUGCCAUAACGAGCGCAACCCUUGUUGUCAGUUACUAACAGGUUCCGCUGAGGACUCUGACAAGACUGCCAUCGUAAGAUGUGAGGAAGGUGGGGAUGACGUCAAAUCAGCACGGCCCUUACGCCCGGGGCUACACACGUGUUACAAUGGGGGGUACAGAGGGCCGCUACCACGCGAGUGGAUGCCAAUCCCCAAAACCUCUCUCAGUUCGGACUGGAGUCUGCAACCCGACUCCACGAAGCUGGAUUCGCUAGUAAUCGCGCAUCAGCCACGGCGCGGUGAAUACGUUCCCGGGCCUUGUACACACCGCCC
rnacentral:rRNA from 1 species